GUGAACGCUGGCGGUAGGCCUAACACAUGCAAGUCGAAUGGCAGCACAGUAAGAGCUUGCUCUUACGGGUGGCGAGUGGCGGACGGGUGAGGAAUACAUCGGAAUCUACUUUUUCGUGGGGGAUAACGUAGGGAAACUUACGCUAAUACCGCAUACGACCUACGGGUGAAAGCAGGGGAUCUUCGGACCUUGCGCGAUUGAAUGAGCCGAUGUCGGAUUAGCUAGUUGGCGGGGUAAAGGCCCACCAAGGCGACGAUCCGUAGCUGGUCUGAGAGGAUGAUCAGCCACACUGGAACUGAGACACGGUCCAGACUCCUACGGGAGGCAGCAGUGGGGAAUAUUGGACAAUGGGCGCAAGCCUGAUCCAGCCAUACCGCGUGGGUGAAGAAGGCCUUCGGGUUGUAAAGCCCUUUUGUUGGGAAAGAAAAGCAGCAGGUUAAUACCCCGCUGUUCUGACGGUACCCAAAGAAUAAGCACCGGCUAACUUCGUG
rnacentral:rRNA from 1 species